rnacentral:rRNA from 1 species
ACAGAUCGUUCAGAGUUUGAUCCUGGCUCAGGACGAACGCUGGCGGCGUGCCUAACACAUGCAAGUCGAGCGGAGACAUUAAGGAGCUUGCUCCGAGAUGUUUUAGCGGCGGACGGGUGAGUAACGCGUGAGCAACCUUUCUCUCAGUGGGGAAUAACACACCGAAAGGUGUACUAAUACCGCAUGAGACCACGGUAUCGCAUGAUACAGAGGUCAAAGAUUUAUCGCUGAGAGGUGGGCUCGCGUCCGAUUAGAUAGUUGGUGAGGUAACGGCUCACCAAGUCGACGAUCGGUAGCCGACCUGAGAGGGUGAUCGGCCACAUUGGGACUGAGACACGGCCCAA